CCCUUAGAUGUUCUGGGCCGCACGCGCGCUACACUGACUGGUGCAACAAGUGUCGCUCCUUGGCCGAUAGGCCUGGGCAAUCUUUGAACGCCAGUCGUGAUGGGGAUAGAUUCUUGCAAUUUUUGAUCUUCAACGAGGAAUUCCUAGUAAAUGCGAGUCAUCAUCUCGCGUUGAUUACGUCCCUGCCCUUUGUACACACCGCCCGUCGCACCUACCGAUUGAAUGGUCCGGUGAAGCCUCGGGAUUGCGAAUGCUUCGCGCGGACGCGAGAACUUGGCUAAACCUUACCAUUUAGAGGAAGGUGAAGUCGUAACA
rnacentral:rRNA from 1 species